rnacentral:rRNA from 1 species
CCUACGGGGCGCAGCAGUGGGGAAUAUUGGGCAAUGGGCGCAAGCCUGACCCAGCAACGCCGCGUGAAGGAAGAAGGCUUUCGGGUUGUAAACUUCUUUUACGGGGGGCGAACAAAUGACGGUACCCCUUGAAUAAGCCACGGCUAACUACGUGCCAGCAGCCGCGGUAAUACGUAGGUGGCAAGCGUUAUCCGGAUUUAUUGGGUGUAAAGGUCGUGUAGUCGGGAGCUCAAGUCAGAUGUGAAAACUCCGUGCUCAACCCUGAGCCUUCAUUUGAAACUGUGUUUCUUGAGUGCUGGAGAGGC